rnacentral:tRNA from 1 species
CAGAAAGUAGUUUAAUUUAAAACUCCAGCUUUGGGAGUUGGUGAUGAAGGUUUGAUUCCUUUCUUUCUGA